GACGAACGCUGGCGGCGUGCUUAACACAUGCAAGUCGAACGAUGAAGCCCAGCUUUCGUGGUGUGUUAGAGUCGCACACGUGUGUGUAACGCGUGUAUCACCUGCCUAACACUGGGGGAUAACUAGUGGACACGGUCGCUAAUACCGUAUAAGAGCCCACAGUGCAUGGUGUGUGUUAGAGAUUUAUCGGUUUUGGAUGAACACGCGGCCUAUCAGCUUGUUGGUGAGGUGAUGGCGCAACAAGGCGACGACGCGUAGCCGGCCUGAGAGGGUGACCGGCCACAGUGGGACUGAGACACGGCCCAGACUCCUACGGGAGGCAGCAGUGGGGAAUAUUGCACAAUGGGCGGAAGCCUGAUGCAGCGACGCCGCGUGAGGGAUGACGGCCUUCGGGUUGUAAACCGCUUUCGGUUGGGAAGAAGCGAAAGUGACGGUAUCUUCAGAAGAAGCACCGGCUAACUACGUG
rnacentral:rRNA from 1 species